rnacentral:lncRNA from 1 species
AAACUACAUUGACUUCCUGGGGUGGGUUAGAAAUUACUGGGAAAUUACACCUUGACAAAUCUUUGGUUUAACAAAAGGUUUACAUUUUGUUAUCAGGGAGACAGUGCAGGGAAUAUUAAGUACCUUGAAAGACUGAAGCCAAGACAUUACCCUAAUGCUAUUUUACCACACUUAGGUUACCAAUGAUCUUUUCAAGUUGAUCACAUAUAGACAGAAGAAGCCAAAGGAGCCAGCAG